GUGUGUUCAUUGAAGCUGGACCAGGGUGGCCACAACUGCUGUGGUGGUGGGCACGAGCUCGUGAGUGCUUCCACAGCAAUCUCUGAAAUACCCUGGAUUUAAUUUUUGUGUCAGGCUGCUUGCUUCUGCGGAGAACAGUUUAUGGUGGAGUUUUGUGUUUACAGAGAACUGUUAGGCUGCCCUUUAAAGUGUUUAAAUAAUAUUGUAUCAACACGGUGCAGACUGAUAUGUAUCUUAGCAACUGUGUCAAGUUCACGAUGGGCUAAAAAUCCAAAUGGGAAUCAAACAAUCUGGAGCCUUAAAGCUUAGAAAGCUGAGAAUAAGAAGAAAAUUACUAGGUUAUUUUGGACCCAACCAAGGCAGCCCUUCAGCUUAAUGUGCUAAUUGUAGGUUAACAAGUACCUUGAAACUAUAAUUAAAAAGCAAUAUACACACAGUAUCUUCAAAAAUUAUAACAAAAAGAAUUAUGUUUCAUGGCAAGAAAAAAAGUUUGAAAUAACAGAAGUACAAUUGAAGUUUGAAAGGAGUGGCAUCUGUAACAAAGCAAAAUACUGCUGGUUUUAUUUACGUUUUACAUACCCACUGGUUCUGAAGUCUGGAAAACUCUGUAUUUGAAUACCAGGUUAAAUGCUGUAGAUUUACCCCAAGUGUAUGUGAGUGAGAAUAAGGGUGCAGGUUCUGCUGCAAACAUGAGCAAAUGUUCAUCACCCAUGGUGCUAUUGCAAAAAGUCAUGCAGAAACCAGUUUUACAAGGAUUUUACAGGCCUCUGGAUCAGAGACAGGUUAAGUGUGUCAUAAAUUGUCCCAGAACUAGCAACAGUCACUUGGCAUCACAUUCCAAUGAUCUACAUUCAUGGUCACCCCAUUUAUUCUGUGGCUAUCUCAAGUCAUUCCUGAACAUACUGUGUGAGCAAUUCUUUUUGACUUGAACAGGCUGAAUUGGUCCUGUCUGCAGUACCUGAGCUGGGUCUGCAAUACUCCUUACCUUAGAGAAUGAAGUUUCCUCCACAAAGCAAAUUUCAGCUUCAAUAUGCUUCAUGUAAGAGUUGUUAAAAUUUUCCAGGUACACAUUUAUCCAGAGAUCUAUUACUCAAUUGAUGGCUUGUAUGAAGCUGAUAUUUAAAGGCAUUGUUAGCUAAGCCCUAAGUACCUUGAGGAUCAUUAUGGGUCUGAGAGUUUCUAGUUACCAGGACUUUAACUCACACCUCGCUGCCAGAAUUCUUACAAAGCAGCAUUGGACUUCUGUUCAUCUUUUUCCUCUUCAAGAACAGAUCUAAGAGAGAAUGGAGGAAUAAUAAUAAUGGCCCAAACAAACAGUGACACAAAGCUUGUUUUAGGUGUUAAUGUUAUGGCCUUGUAGUUCUUGAAUGUGCUGGCCCAAUGACUGCAGUAGAUACCAGGGAGUCUCAAAAAAUAGUCUGGGCCCCUGAGGUUCCAGCCAGGUUUUGGGAAGGGAUACGUUGUGUGAGAGCAAAGCCUUUGGUUUGGUGCAUGGAGAUUAAAGGAUCAAUUUGGCAAGAUGGAGCAAGAAGGCAGAGUUCUUAAUGUUAAAAGGAUCUUGAACUUGAUUCACCACGUAAUGUGAGGAGGGCACAAGAGGUUUAUGUGGUUAUGCUGCUUCUUGUACCGUGUGAACCUCUGAAGAGUGGAGGUCCCAUCUAAUCUUAAAUUACUUUGUCCUUCCCAGUUCUUGUGUCAUGCCCAAGAUGUGAGAUUUCACUGACUCUGUGUGCUCAGUAACUGAAUCUGCCAGCUGAUGACUUGAACCUUUCCCAGGAAUCACAAGGGACAAUCAAAAUAUCUCCACAUUUUAAGACACUGAGAGCAUUUCACCAUAUGAACUUGAGGAUUUUUUGACUAUCCCUGUGUACUGGGGUAUUGGAAGAACUAUUAGAUACAGGCAAGAGCAUUAACUUAGAAAAAAGAGGAAACUUAUUUUUAAGAGUUAUUCCUUUGGAAGAGGUUAGAUUUAUUAAAAAUGUAAAUUUUGAAUAUUUAAAUAGAAAAGCAGUGGAGAGAUUUCUCAAGAGCUAAUAAUCUGUUCCCAGCAAAUAUUUUAAAAUAAUUUACUGUGAAAUCAAUUUUAUCAGAUGAUAAAAUCAUAUGGAUCUCUUCUGUCAUGGAAAUUCUCUGAAAUGAAAUGCCUUUUUGGAUGAAAUAACUUAUUUUUCCAUGCAAAAAAUAUGGUUUUGUAGGAAAGAAAAUAUUUUCCCCUCAGGAAAACUUUGCCUGAAGAGAGAAAAUGAAACUGAGAUGCUCUUUUCCUGUGGAUAUCUUACAGGGACAUGAAGAUGCUGAGUAGUCUGCAGUCUCACUGCCAUUGAAGCAGUCAGCUAAGGGAGGCAAAAAUUUCUGGGAGUUUGGAUUCCCUCUGUCAGCCUAGGCUUUGUUCAGGUCAAUUUUAUUCCUGUGAAAUUUCCAAGAUCCUUUCAGAAAUUUCCUUCUUGGAGGUAGGAGGACAAGAAAUUUGUUAUAUUCAAGCCCAUUUCUUCCUACCAGUAAUUUUAAGAUUCAUGAUAUCUAAAGAUACCAUCAAGAUAUGAGAGAAGACAAGAACUGGACAGUGACACCAGCUUUCCAUCUGGUUGUGGACAAAGCCACUGAGUUCUAUUCUCUGGGGAGCACUGCAAGCACAUAAGGAGCUACUCUGGAUCUGAGAGGGCAGCAGUUGUGGCCUGAGAACCAAGUAUUUAUUUCCAGAACAAAGGAGACUUGUCCUAAAGUACCUGGAAAGCUGUGAGUAAAGGAACUGAGGCAUGGAGAAGGCUGUUGAAUGUAACUAUCCUCAUCAUGGUACAAUACAAUAUGGUAUUUCCAACCAACCUACAUGCUUCCAUCUGAGAGAAGAGUGGCUGGACAUGUCAUGUCAACCUAUGGAAAGCCUCUAAUUUUCUGCCAGAAGUGAGGGGGGUCCUGCAUGGGCAUCAAUUUGUAUUAUUUUUGUGUUUGUUUAAAGCCAAGUAGUGGAAAUGCAGAGGCAUGAUUUAUACAUGCAAGAAAUUGGAAAAAAAUUUCUUCUUUUCAGCAAUGAAAAACACAGGAACAUCCACACCACUCUCCCACAUUUUUGACAUCUCCCUGCAUGUGGAGAAGACAAGACAAAAAAUGGCAGAAUUACAUACUACCAAAAAAAUCUUUACUUACAAGACUUUCAGCAUUAUUUUGUAGAUGUUAUAAGUUGUUUGAAGAAAGAUCAAAAAAGGUGGCUGAAGAUGGGGGCAUGUGGCUAUAUCAAAUUAAAUUCUCACACAGCUGUUGCAUAUUGCUUUUCAAGGCUCCAGUUGCCACUUAUUUCAGUUCGGGUGACUCCCAGUGUGGACAACUGGAGGAUGAGGACCCUAGGACAUGACAAAGCCUAAGCUCACUGUUUUAUCUGGAUGCAGAAAGAAAGGCCUCUUGGCCUGUAGAUCAAUGGUUUCAUACUGAGAAAAGAAAAACAAAAAAGGAAACAUCACAACAAGAUGUGUACACAGGACUUUCGAGGAUAAAAGGUGUGUAAUCCACCCCAACACUGAGCAGCUGGAGACCUUCCUUUGUCCCAGGAUGUCUGCAUCUCAGGUUGUGGGUCCUGCUUAGGAGGCAAUAAGAAUUAUUAGGUGUUCAGAAAAUGGGCCUUGGGAAAGCAUUGAGCUUUUGCACUUGAGGGGCAGCUGCAAGGAGAAGGUAAUCUGUGCUUUCCACAUCUACUGCAACUACACUUGGUUCAAAGAAUAUUACGACAGAAUUAUCGAGGACCAUAUUAAAAACCUUAUGCUGAAUGAGAGGAGGGGGUACAAGCAAAAAGUGAAAACAUUCCCCUAAAUUCAAAUCCUCCCACCAGAAGAAAUACAUAAAUCAGUCAAAGUGUGGGUCAGUUUGUGCUUGGCAAAAUGUUUGACUCAGCAAGGAUGCUGCUCAGCAGCCACUUUUGAUUCAACUGAGUGCUGCUGACUAGCUAUGAAAAAACCAUGGUAGUAGAAUAGGCUAAGCAUUUGGGAAUGAUGGCCCACUGGAAGGCUUUGGAAGGGUUGUUCCCAGGUUCUUGAAAUAUCUAUAGCACAGCUAACCUCCACAGAUACAUUUAGGUAUUUUUUUACAGCAAUUAUCUGGCAAUAAGAAGUGCUUGAUUAGACUUUCUGCAGUGCAAGAGCCUGGUCUUCACAUGGAAACAAGGCUAAAAUUUGCCUCUUCUGUUGAAAUGGUCAUUUGCAACAAAGGUUCUUCCUGCUUUACACCAGUGAAGCAAAUUAAAUGCCAUCUGGGACAAAACAAUACCAAUACUAAAGAUCUGAGUCAAGAUCAAUCAAUGUCAUGAUUUCUCUUACCAAAGUCUUAAGCAGAUCUCCAUGGAGAUCAUUAAUUUCUGUAAUAUGCAUAAAAGAAAUCCACAGGGUUCAGAGAGAAGCAAAAAGGGAGACUUUUAAUAUACCUCCUUUUCUGCUUUUGGUUGUAACUCUCCUAAGUUAUGAGUAUGAUGCUAAAGUCAAUCUGUCCAGCAUGGUGGGAAUGUUACCCAGUGUCACUACAAGUAUUUAGUCUGAUCAGCCACAUAAGCCCCCACACCACCACACAGAAACUAAUUGUGAGGAUUAGGGCACACCAAGGCACUCAAGCUCCACUCCUGUGGGUUUGGGGAGAAACAACACAUUUAAACAUUCCAGCUACAGUUCCCUUGGCAACGUACAUAACAACAAGUCAGUAACACUAUGGGUUUCUGUUUUCUUAACCCUUCAGGACAUUGACUGAAUGAAUACUUCCUUGAGGAAACUGUUCAGUCAACCAUAUAUACUCAAACACACUUAAAUCCAGCAGGCCUUUUCUCUUUAAAGAAACAACAGCUGCUGAAUUCCAUGUCAAACUGAUCUCCUCCCCUAGCAUUAAAGGGUUUAAUUCAAACACACACAUAUACCAUUAGCAAAUCCUCCACGGAAGUCUGUAUGAAAAAAGACAGUAAAAACCAAUCCCCAAAUGUCAAUGUUUCAUAUCAUUAUGAAGUUACCAUGGAUCAGAGGACACAGAGAGCAAUACACGACAUUUUAAAAAGCACAUAAGUACUCUUAAGAAACAAAACAAUAUUAGCAUGUGUGUGGAUUAUAAAACACAAUAUUGUUCCUGACAGUAAUAGGAAUAAUAAUGUCUACAACAACUUCAUAAUGAUUUCUCUGGGAAUUUAAAAUACUUUGUAAAUAUUCACUAAUACUAUCAAAUAAUAAGAUUUGCAUCAUCUUUGUGAAAUACAUGAGAUAUGCCCCUAAGUUUGUUCCCCAGCUCAAUGAACUGGAGCUUUCUGUGAUGUUAAACACAUCUGCUCCUUAGCAGUGACUAUUCCUGUUGUGCAAAGGUUUGGAGGAGGAACCACCUGCUGAAUACUUGUGCAAGGUCACCAGAACUCACCUUCCAAAGAGCUGCUGCAGGUUUUGGGCUGUCAUUAGUAGACAGAAUUGAUGAACAUGCUUGCAAGUCCUGAGUUAAUAGCUGCAACUGUUAUGGUACUCUGCAGAUUUCUUUAAGAGAUAGUCUGUGCACUAUGUCUUCCUCAGAAGUUUAAAUUUAUGAAAGCAUGAAAACCUUUACCCUGGAAACCUUUGUCCCAAGCUGAGACCAACAAACGAUGUGUAGCAAUUGUCUGAAAAGAACUUACCUUUCUUUCUCAGUAUACAAGGUGGGACCUAACCUAGCUUUUUAGGAGAACAAGAAAAACCAUCAGUACCUAUGUCAAAAUGAUAGCUAUUCCUUAACUAGUAGUGUACUGCUGCACACUUACUUACACAAAGGAAGAGAUUGAAGCUACAAAAGUAAAUCAAGGA